rnacentral:rRNA from 1 species
UACGAAGGGGGCUAGCGUUGUUCGGAUUUACUGGGCGUAAAGCGCACGUAGGCGGAUCGUUAAGUCAGGGGUGAAAUCCUGGAGCUCAACUCCAGAACUGCCUUUGAUACUGGCGAUCUUGAGUCCGGAAGAGGUGAGUGGAACUCCUAGUGUAGAGGUGGAAUUCGUAGAUAUUAGGAAGAACACCAGUGGCGAAGGCGGCUCACUGGUCCGGUACUGACGCUGAGGUGCG